GUACAGUGGUGUACAGAUAUAGA
rnacentral:siRNA from 1 species